CGGGGCGUAGCGCAGCCUGGUUCAGCGCACCUGCCUUGGGCGCAGGGGGUCGGAGGUUCAAAUCCUCUCGCCCCGACCA
rnacentral:tRNA from 1 species